GGCGAGAUGGCCGAGUGGUCUAAGGCGCUAGUUUCAGGAGUGGUGGUCCUUCGGGACCCCUAUCCAGACUUACUAGUCUUCACAGGCGUGGGUUCGAAUCCCACUCUCGUCA